rnacentral:lncRNA from 1 species
GCUUUUCCAAGCCCUACAACUGAGGGGUGUUACACUCCUCACACUGAGAGAGAGUUUGUCUUACAUCAAUAAACAACUAAAUCCUAAAAACCCUAUCUUGUUCUAUUUAUAUUACAUUGAAAAAGAAGGAAAAUGACUACACUCCCCUUAAUGAGAGGGGUGGCUAUGGAGUGCAUUUUGGGCAAAGUGAAGUGACCAAAAUACCCUCAAUGAAGAUGGCCCAAAACCG